AACCCGCCUGCAUGAAGUUGGAAUCGCUAGUAAUCGCGGAUCAGCAUGCCGCGGUGAAUACGUUCCCGGGCCUUGUACACACCGCCCGUCACACCAUGAGAGUUGGGGAUACCCGAAGCCUGUGAGCUAACUUUUAGAGGCAGCAGUCGAAGGUAGAAUCAAUGAUUGGGGUGAAGUCGUAACAAGGUAAC
rnacentral:rRNA from 1 species